rnacentral:tRNA from 1 species
GUGGCUGUAGCUCAAUGGUCAGAGCGCCGGUCUGUGGCACCGGAGGUUGUGGGUUCAAGUCCCAUCAGCCACC